GGCACUUCUCCUUCCUGCCACCAUGUGAAAAAGGACAUGUUUGCUUCUCCUUCUGCCAUGAUUUUCCCCUAUAUUCUCACCAGUAACUAAAAGCAUAGUGUCCAGAAUGAAUCUAAGUAGAAGAAGGGAAGACGAGAAGGACACAAGAAGGAAGACAAGGAAAAAUGUCGACCUCAAAGAACUAGAGGAACAACACUGGAGUUAUACGAAACACCCAGAAUUAGAAUCAGAGCAAUUUGAUUGGAUUUACUACAGCUGAUUCUAGAUACAAGAACUUUACCGAGCCAUUUACAAUUUUUGUGCUUCAAUUUCAUCAUUUUAAAACAGAAAGAAAGCAUUUACCUUAUACGCUUGUUGCUUAGAUUAUAAAGGAAUUAUCUAUAUAAAAAGUACAAUAAAGAAGAAUAUAAAUGUAAGAAUGUAGAGGGUCACAAACAUUGUUUGAAAUAUCCAUGCUUUUCAUUUUGGAGUGAAAAGAGGAAAAAUACUAACUGUAAAAUUAAAUUCAUUACUAUAUCAAAGUCAAGCCUGCCUAUCAAGUCAUUUGACAGUUAAAAAUGUUUUGUUUAUCCCAUAAACUUUAUGAAAAAACUAGUUCAUUGCCAAAGGGAUGUUACUUACAGCAAAAUCUCUAGAAGCUCUGAAAUAGAAUUUGAGUUUUAUUUGCAUUUUAUUUUUACAUUCUUACUACUCUACUAACUACAUUCUGCCUAAGUAAAUAUGCUCAAAGCUUUAAAAGUAGGCUGAAUGAAUCACUGGUGGAAAAAUAAUGACCAGGAGCCAACAACAAGCUGAAAAAACAAGAAUCCAUAAUCUCCAUAUGAGAGGAAACUGUGUGGUAAGAUGGAUUUAAUGGGUCUGGGCUAAAAUGGUAAAAGUAUAAUGGAUGUAGCUAAAACAAACAAGGUCCAACUCUAAACCAGCACAAGAAAAACAGAGCAAGGGCAUUUGAUUUCAUUUAAAAGAAAUUAAAUUUUAAAUCAAAGUAAAAAAUGUAAGUCAUUACAAUAUUGAGGUAGUUAGUGGAGUUGACUGUAUAAGAAAUUGGCUACUACUUUCAAAGGGCUUCAUCAUUUUAAAGCUAUACAAAUAUUUGUCUUGGAUAAGGUUAAAAUUAUGAAGACAUCAAAAUUCAAAGAAAGUUCAAUGCCUUUUGGGGGUCAGAAAGUCUGAAAAUAAAAAAUUCAUGUAUUUUCUUUUGUUCAUAAGAAAUGAAAAGUGGUCUUUCAUUUUUUCCCAUCUAAUAUAUCAAUAUAGCAACUUUUGUCAAACAAAGGAGAUAAACAUCUGGGUUACUAUGGGUAAGUUUUUCUCUUUCUUUUCUUAAGGGCAACCAUGCUUUCCAUUUGUCUGUAAUACUAGAAAUAUUUCACUGUAUUUUUCUACUCUAUGCCUCAACUCUAUAUUUGACUUCAUUAGAUUUUAUAAAUUGUCUCUAAAUUUUAUUUUGUGUUUAUACUCUAAACAAAUUUAUACUUUAGGGUUUUUGCCUAUGGAGUCGAAAUAGUUUAUCAUUUUCUGACUGUAAUUCCUGUAACAUAUUUAAAAAUUAAAAACUAACUUUUUUCAUGUUGAAUUA
rnacentral:lncRNA from 1 species